ensembl:snRNA U6 U6 spliceosomal RNA
GUUCUCACUUCAGUAGCAAAUAUAUUAAAAUUGGAAAAAGAGAUUAACAUGUCCCUUGUGCUAGGAUGACAUGCAAAUUUGUGAAUUGUUCUAUAUUUUU